GACGAACGCUGGCGGCGUGCUUAACACAUGCAAGUCGAACGGAAAGGCCCUGCUUUUGUGGGGUGCUCGAGUGGCGAACGGGUGAGUAACACGUGAGUAACCUGCCCUUGACUUUGGGAUAACUUCAGGAAACUGGGGCUAAUACCGGAUAGGAGCUCCUGCUGCAUGGUGGGGGUUGGAAAGUUUCGGCGGUUGGGGAUGGACUCGCGGCUUAUCAGCUUGUUGGUGGGGUAGUGGCUUACCAAGGCUUUGACGGGUAGCCGGCCUGAGAGGGUGACCGGCCACAUUGGGACUGAGAUACGGCCCAGACUCCUAAGGGAGGCAGAAGUGGGGAAUAUUGCACAAUGGGCGGAAGCCUGAUGCAGCAACGCCGCGUGCGGGAUGACGGACUUCGGGUUGUAAACCGCUUUCGCCUGUGACGAAGCGUGAGUGACGGUAAUGGGUAAAGAAGCACCGGCUAACUACGUG
rnacentral:rRNA from 1 species